UACAUUAUCUAUAAGUACUCAAUGAGUAUGACGGAUAAUGGCAUCAACAUUAAAAAGAUAAAGCACACAACAUAAAGCUAUAAUGUGAGAGAGAUACAAAAGUAGAAUUGAAAAUAUACAUUUUAAAUCAGUGAUGAACAGCCAAGGUCAUCUGUGACAUAACUGUAUCACUCAAAAACAAUUCGAAAUACAAAAUGACACUUAUGGAUGAGACACAUCGGG
rnacentral:lncRNA from 1 species